UGGGGAAUAUUGGGCAAUGGGCGCAAGCCUGACCCAGCAACGCCGCGUGAAGGAAGAAGGCUUUCGGGUUGUAAACUUCUUUUCUGGGGGACGAAGAAAGUGACGGUACCCCAGGAAUAAGCCACGGCUAACUACGUGCCAGCAGCCGCGGUAAUACGUAGGUGGCAAGCGUUAUCCGGAUUUAUUGGGUGUAAAGGGCGUGUAGGCGGGAGUGCAAGUCAGAUGUGAAAACUAUGGGCUCAACCCAUAGCCUGCAUUUGAAACUGUACUUCUUGAGUGCUGGAGAGGCAAUCGGAAUUCCGUGUGUAGCGGUGAAAUGCGUAGAUAUACGGAGGAACACCAGUGGCGAAGGCGGAUUGCUGGACAGUAACUGACGCUGAGGCGCGAAAGCGUGGGGAGCAAACAGGAUUAGAUACC
rnacentral:rRNA from 1 species